GCUGAGCACUGUGCACUUUCAGUUCACCUGAUCCGUGGCACUGACCUCCACUUAUCCUACUGCGUGGCGGUUUCCCCGAGCAUUCCUUCCAAGCACUGUCGUCACUCAGCUUUUGAGAGCGAGAGCCAUUGAUGAUGCAUGCCAGACGGAUGAAGACUGCUUUACCCGCCUUCCCAGGAAAGGUCUCAUUAGCCAACUGACAUUUACUCCUGAGGUGCUGCCCUGUUGCACCCUCUACAACCACUGUGAUUAUUAUUUGACCCUGCUGGUUAUCUCUGAAUGUUUGAACAUCUUGAAGAACGAUCUGGCCUUAAUGGCGAUGUACUCUUGUAAUAUACAGCCAGAAGAGGACUGGUCCCUGUCUCGGUUUCUUCUAAGUUCCUGCCUUUCUAGGGAGUUUUUCCUAGCCACCGUGCUUCUACAUCUGCAUUGCUUGCUGUUUGGGGUUUUAAGCUGAGUUUCUGUAUUAACACUUUGUGACAUCGGCUGUAAAAAGGACAUUUGAAUGAAUUUGAUUGGUUUUGGAAAUGGGUCACUGUAAUUCAGGGUUUCCUAAACUCGGUCCUUGGGACCCCAAGGGGUGUACAUUUGGUUGUUACUCUAGCACUACACAGCUGAUUCAAAUAAUCAACUCAUCAUCAAGCUUUGAUCAUUUGAAUCAGCUUUUAUAGUGUUGGGGCCUAAAACCAAAAUGUGCACCCCUUGGGGUCCAGAGGACUGAGUUUGGGAAAAGCUGCUGUAAUUAUAUCUACUGCCACGCACGUCCUGGUCAUAAGUGUGGUUAUUCCAACAGUUUCCAACUUCAUCUUUUUUUAUUGUUACUGUUUGACCUGACGAAGAUCCGGGUCGGAUUGAAACGUUGUCAAUAAAGUGGUU